GACGUAGGGGGCAAGCGUUGUCCGGAUUUAUUGGGCGUAAAGAGCGUGUAGGCGGCCAGAUAGGUCCGUUGUGAAAACUCGAGGCUCAACCUCGAGACGCCGAUGGAAACCACUUGGCUAGAGUCCGGAAGAGGAGAGUGGAAUUCCUGGUGUAGCGGUGAAAUGCGCAGAUAUCAGGAAGAACACCCGUGGCUAAGGCGGCUCUCUAGUACGGUACUGACGCUGAGACGCGAAAGCGUGGGGAGCGAACAGG
rnacentral:rRNA from 1 species